AAAAGAAAGAAAGAAAGAAAAAACAACGUAUCAUUUCAGAAGUCCGAUGCCCCUCCUUGCUGCUCUCUCCCACCUCUCCUAAUCGCAUCCUUUCGAACUUUCUCGGAAAGUUUCUCUCCCUCGCAUCGGUUUCUCGGUAUAAUGCUGUGAAAUUCUCAACCAUGAGCUCGUCGGAAGCAAAAAUGAGGGGAUCUAUGUAUGUAGACAACGCGAACGCUCCGUCAACCUCAGGUCCACCGCCUCGCGCCCCUCAGGCUGCGCCGACCCACCCGAAUUCCAAGCACAGUGGUGGCAAUGUGUUUCGACUCUUGGCACGGAGAGAGGUUUCUCCUCGAACAAAGCACUCUUCAAAACGAUUUUGGAGAGAAGCUUCUAACUCGCAAGUUGAUUUAUUUGGGUCAAGAUGUGAAGCAAUGCAAGAUGCAAGAGGAGGUCUUAUCUCAUGGGUGGAGGCAGAAACAUUGCGGCAUCUAUCAGCCAAAUAUUGUCCACUGUUGCCACCUCCUAGGUCAACUAUAGCAGCAGCCUUCAGCCCUGAUGGGAGGACGCUUGCUUCUACGCAUGGAGACCAUACUGUGAAGAUUAUUGAUUGCCAAACUGGGAGCUGCUUAAAGGUUUUGAAUGGUCACAGGAGAACCCCUUGGGUGGUUAGGUUUCAUCCAUUAUAUCCUGAAAUACUUGCAAGUGGAAGUUUAGAUCAUGAAGUUCGUUUGUGGGAUGCAAACACUGCAGAGUGUAUAGGAUCACGUGAUUUUUAUCGUCCUAUCGCUUCUAUUGCCUUCCAUGCUCAGGGGGAGCUCCUUGCUGUGGCUUCAGGUCACAAGCUGUAUAUAUGGCAUUACAACCGAGGAGGGGAGACAUCGUCACCAACCAUUGUACUGAAAACACGCCGGUCUCUUCGGGCUGUGCAUUUUCACCCACAUGCAGCCCCUUUUCUUCUAACUGCCGAGGUCAAUGACCUUGACUCAUCAGAUUCCUCGAUGACGCUUGCAACUUCUCCAGGUUACUUGCACUAUCCUCCACCCACAGUGUACUUGGCUGAUGCUCAUUCCAAUGAUCUUCCUUGUUUGGCGGAUGAACUUCCUCUAAUGCCUUUGCCCUUGUUGAUGUGGCCUUCAUUUGCUAGAGAUGAUGGUAGAAUAUCUUUGCAGCAUUCUUAUGGGGAUGUUGGUUCAAGUGGUGUGCAACAGAGAACGGAUCCUUCUGCUUCAGUGCGACUUCUGACAUAUUCUACUCCAUCAGGGCAGUAUGAACUUCUUUUGUCUCCUAUUGAUCCUAAUAGCUCAUCUGCUGUGCCAGAAGAUAUGGGAAACGAUUCUCUAAUGAGUGAAACAGAUAAUGCAAUUUCGCAAUCUGCUAUAGAUGCCAUGGAGACUAUGGAAGUGCAGCCUGAAGAGAGAAAUAAUCGCUUCUUCCCUUUUGGUGAUCCAAUGUAUUGGGAAUUACCUUUCUUGCAAGGGUGGUUAAUUGGCCAGAGCCAGGCUGGGCAACGAACCAUGGGUUCAGUCAAUGCUUCAGCUCAUGAGAAUUUAUCAGCAUUUAGUGAAAUGGAAAAUCUUGUAGCUUCUUCAGUUAUGCCCACUGGUGUUAGCCAAUCUAGGGUUACUGGAAGAUCUAGUUCGCGGCAGCAUUCUUCACGUUCCCGCUUGAUGUCCACAACUGGAUCUGGUGAAGGUGCUGUCUUCAAUCACAUUUCACGCGAUGAAGGUGAUCCUCAACUUGCUGUUAGCAGAAUCCAAUCUGAACUUGCAACCUCACUGGCUGCAGCUGCUGCUGCAGAGUUACCUUGCACGGUUAAGCUAAGAAUAUGGCCGCAUGAUGCAAAAGAUCCAUGUGCUCCUCUAGAUGCAGAAAAGUGCCGCUUAACCAUACCACAUGUUGUACUUUGUAGUGAAAUGGGUGCUCAUUUUUCACCCUGCGGGAGAUUUUUAGCAGCCUGUGUUGCGUGCAUGUUGCCUCAUCUGGAAUCUGAUCCAGGAUCACAAAGCCAGCUCCACCAUGACAUCACAGGGGCUGCAACAUCCCCAACACGACACCCAAUUUCAGCUCACCGAGUUCUGUAUGAGCUUCGGAUAUAUUCCCUUGAGGAGGCAACAUUUGGCUCCGUGCUGGCUUCUCGGGCAAUACGGGCUGCCCAUUGUUUAACUUCAAUUCAGUUCUCUCCCACAUCAGAGCACUUGUUACUUGCCUAUGGUCGGCGCCAUAGUUCACUUCUUAAGAGUGUUGUCAUUGAUGGAGAGACAACAGCACCCAUUUACACGAUUCUGGAGGUUUACAGAGUGUCUGAUAUGGAACUUGUGAGAGUUAUUCCUAGUGCUGAGGAUGAGGUCAACGUAGCCUGCUUUCAUCCUUCAGUUGGAGGUGGCCUUGUCUAUGGGACUAAGGAAGGGAGACUUAGGCUCCUCCAAUGUGAUAGGUCUCAUGCCAUGAAUUGUGCACCAUCUCGCUUUCUUGAUGAAAACAUGCUUGAGGUCCCAACAUAUGCUUUAGAAUGCUAAUAGCUAGCGAUCAUUUCCCACAUAUGAUCUGUACAACUCCUCUUGAAUGCUCUUGCUUGAUCUGCUGGUUUCUGGCUGGCUCUACUUGUGGCACAAAGCUGGAGUCCACCAAAGUCUCUGAUUGCAUCUGUGAGUCAACAUACUCAUGUAUUUAUGCGGGUACUGGUUCGAGGAUGGCGAUCUUUGUUUACCCAUGAUAAAUCUUGUCUGUAACAUUAGGAAUUUGGUCUAACAUGAAAAUGGCCGAUGGUGCCUUGCCCAAUCUGCCAGAAAAAUAUAGUUGUAUUUGUUUGUUUCACAUCAAAUGAAGAUUGACAGAAAGAAAGGGUCUCUCUCUCUCUCUCUCUCUCUCUCUUAGUUUUAACAAGUUUCCAUGGAUUCUAUAAGCUUGUAAAACUGCAGUAAGUCUUUGUGCACCUGCGGCUGUGUGCACGCGGGGUUGAUCUCCAUUGAGAUUAUUGUGGCUUGAGGCAACUUUUGAAUUUGAGGGGUAAAAACUAAUUUCCAACCGCGUGGUGUGACCUCCUGAAGAAAUUAGCGACCAUCACUUUAAUUUGGUCGACUAGAUCACUGGCUCUCUUUUUUUAUAAAUUAGUGGACCCUGAAUGUUGUAUGCCAAUAAUGUUGAUAGGUUGUGUGGGGGGCACGUGACCACUUUUCUGUUCAUUUUAACGUCCAACUCUGAUAGAGUAAUCUUUUUUAACAAUUGAUGAUAGUUUGCCGUAUCCAUAUACUAUAUUUUGAAGUUUGGUGGUGUAAAUGAAAAUG